GAGCGCAACGCUGAAAAGGGGCGGGGCUACAUAAGGUCUAUAAAACAUCAUUAAGGGCAUUUGCUCUGCUUAUAAAAAAAUUUAAUAAACCAGAACAGAACUUUUGGUGAGUUCGUUGCUCCUGGGAAGUUCAAAAUCUGUCAUAAUUACAACUUUAGUUAUGUUCAAAUCAGUUUUCUAUCUUCAUUUCUACAAAAUGACAAAUAAUGCUCAUCAGGAGGAUGCUCUCAUUUUUUGUACAUGCAACUUAAAAAGAAUUCAUUAAACAUUCAUUUCAACAAAUUUGUCAAUACAGAUGAUGCAUCAAUUAUGUCUGCCAUGUUUUCUCACAGACUCAGAAACUUCCCAGACAGCAGGUGACUCCGUGCCGGAUCCGUUUUCAAACCGGCAAAUCCGCGUUACAGUCACCUCCGUUUCACUGCUCUAAAACGGAUCCAGCCCGGUCCCGGUUUCCGUGGGCGGGAACAACAGUCGCAACGCAGAUUCGGCCCGUAUCCGCGGAAACGAGCGCGCGAAUUUUUUUCUGGAGUUUAGAAGAGGAGGCAGACGCAGACGGUGCUCGGUCGGUAUCCUACUUCAAAAACAUCACCAAAGAGCUGUAAGGAAUAACCAGUCCUCUACCAGUGCAGCAGAUUCUUGCCUUUGACUGUGGCGAUGACCAGAAGGAAUGUGCCAAAGCCAAAGAGGCCUUAACUGAGAUGCCUCAUGGGAAUUAAACGGCACAUAUGAAGUGGUUUGUAAUACCAUGGUUUUCCGACCUGUCCCGAUUGGUUCUUGAUGUGUUUAUGGUUCAUUAUAUGAAAUUAUUUUUUGUAUGUUUAUUUUUCCCCAUUUCUUCUAUUUUUUAUUUUUUUUUCUUCUUUACUUAUACAUUAAGAAAGGUCGUGAGAUUGUUUAACUGUUUGUGUAUCAAUGUUUUAAAGUAUAGUUCACCGGAAAAUGAGAAUUUGCUGUUAAUUUACUCACCCUCAAGCCAUCCAUGAUGUAGGUGACAUUUUUUUUCUUCAGUUGAACAGUAAAGAUUUUUAGCGUGGUCCUUGGUGAUUCGUAUAAUGCAAGUCAAUGGCUACCGUCACUUUGAGAGUCAUUAAAACAUAUUACAGGCAAAACAAAGUUAAUACCUGUGACUGAUGCUGACG